GACGAACGCUGGCGGCGUGCCUAAUACAUGCAAGUCGAGCGCAGGAAACUGACGGGACUCUUCGGAGGGAAGGCAGCGGAAUGAGCGGCGGACGGGUGAGUAACACGUAAGGAACCUGCCUCAAGGAUUGGGAUAACUCCGAGAAAUCGGAGCUAAUACCGGAUAGUUCAACGGACCGCAUGGUCCGCUGAUGAAAGGCGCUCCGGCGUCACCUUGAGAUGGCCUUGCGGUGCAUUAGCUAGUUGGUGGGGUAACGGCCCACCAAGGCGACGAUGCAUAGCCGACCUGAGAGGGUGAUCGGCCACACUGGGACUGAGACACGGCCCAGACUCCUACGGGAGGCAGCAGUAGGGAAUCUUCCACAAUGGACGAAAGUCUGAUGGAGCAACGCCGCGUGAGUGAUGAAGGUUUUCGGAUCGUAAAACUCUGUUGUAAGGGAAGAACACGUACGAGAGGAAAUGCUCGUACCUUGACGGUACCUUACGAGAAAGCCACGGCUAACUACGUGCCAGCAGCCGCAGUAAGAC
rnacentral:rRNA from 1 species